ensembl:lncRNA
CACAGUUGGAGAGCUGAGUAAAACUGGCCAGCCAGCCUGUGUGAUCACUGGAAUGGAGCUGGAUAUUCCCCUGGGCACAAGGGGCACCGAAGGAACUACACAGGAAAGCUGUUCGAAUGUCCGGGAAAAAAAUACAUCACUUGAAUGUGCUCCAGGCACAGAUAAGAAAAAGGCAGGAAGCAGAGGCAAAGAAAAGCUGUCCUUAAUAAGCUCAGCUCUGACAAAGCAGAAACCCAUUUUCUUAGAUAAGCCAUGUAGUUCAUAUGACUUAGCAACAUACGAGAAAGAGGCCUGUGAUACAGAGCAGUUAACUCAGAUUAGCGAGAGCUUUUUGCCGAGCAAAGUGGCAGAAAUGUCACACAAAGACCUUUGCAAAGUUCUCUGUAUUUCUGGUGACGCCCCUCUGGAGCCUUUACAAAAUGACGUCAUGUGCAGUUCUUUCCAAAACACACACAAACGCACCGCAGAUGGUCUUACUGAGAGACAUACUAUAGGUGCCAGAAAAUCCACAAGCAACGAUAUUUCAGGACAUGCAGAUGGCAUGGACGGUUCCAGGUUUGAUACUGACAGUUCAAGCGAAGAAUUCUGUCUCAUGCAUAACUCAGAGGAGAGUAGUAUUUCCUUACUCACUCAUCACUGUGGUGGUACAAGACCAAUAGUGCCUGGACAGGAACCUCACACAGUCAAUGAAAGUUCAAAAUCACAUGCACCAGCUGAGAUGCCUUUAGUUGCUGAGGAGUCUCUUGACUUGGGUCUAAGUCAUUCUCCUUCUCUUCUCCAAUGCAAAACUGCCAAAAACAUGCGUAAAACCGGAGGAGACAGAAAAACACUGGAGGCUAAGUUCGAAUAUUGCAUCAGGUCUCCGCACUCAGCAGGCAGUGGGUUUCAGACCAUGGACAUAAACACCCACUGCAAUAAGACCAGUGAUCAAGCAGCCCUGCCUGUGCCUGACAACAUUUGUCUUGUUGAUCAAACAGGAUCCAUUAAUGCUGAGGUUGACAGUUCAACCGAUUCAGACAUCACCAUGAUCUUGGAAAUGGAGUCAGUGAAUGACAGUGAAACUCAUCAAACCAUGCAAGCACAGCUUAUGCGCCCAAAUGUCAGCCCAGCGUGGGAAGGUCGAAAGAGUGAGGGCCAGGAUUCUUUGUCUACUGGUCUAGCAUCCACUGCAGGAAAUGCCAGUGAAUACAGCAAGAGGAGAGAAAAUACAGACUCAGCAGAGAUCCCAACAAAUACAGGCCAGGGGGAAUGUAAAGCCAAAUUCAAGAAAAAAGGAGUGAGAACCAAGUCAUCGAAACCACGGAAUCCAAAAGAGCCUGGUCUAAAAAGAAACAUCAACAAGAGAAAUUGUUAUGGGGAAACCCGGCUUCAUCUGGCGUCAAGGGAUGGGGACUUGGCCUUUGUCACAGCCCUUAUUGAGGCUGGGAUAGAUGUGAACAAGGCUGACCAUGCAGGUUUGUUGAAGAUUAGAUAUGCUGUUGUACUAAUCAUGAAAACCAUUUUCCAAGGGUGUAGUGACGGCAGGAAGGCAAACCAGUGCGUCUUCUAGAUGU